CUGUCGUUAGGUAUUUAGCUAGUUAGAACUUGGAGUGAAAGAUCGCUGCAGGGGCAGAUGUUAGAGGGUGCCAUACAUGAAAGGGAACUAACUGUCCGCUCUAAGAUAUUCAUCUGUUGUAGUGUCCCGUGUGUCAAGUACACAGCCUUCCUGGAGUAGCUGUUGGCCUGAUGAUUGCAUAUGUGAGAGCAAAUAUGACAUAAGUAGGAGAGAGAGAGAUUCCUGUCAUAAUGGCUUUACAAGCAUCCUGGACGACCAGCUGCUGCCAUAGCGUUCCAAGCAGUGGGGGUUCGACUGAGUCUUGGGACCCUGUUCCUGCUUCCUCUGAAGUCAAUGGCUCAGCUCCCAUUGUGCGCAGCAUGGCAGGAUCGAACACUCAAUGUCCAUGUGGUGGGUGUUUUCCAACCAAUGUAGCAGCCGUGUCCUGCCUAGCGUGGGUCAGAAGUUCUUGAAUGAGUCCGUGUUAGCCAGGCAGACAGGUUACUGCGCACCUGGGCUGGGUCACUUGUGUUUCCUGGGAUCGUGUGAUGCCAGAGGAGGAUGGUGGAACCAGUUUUUCUGCUCUGGCAGUGGAACUGGGGAGGAGACAGUACAAAAUGACAAGACAGGAACUGCAGAGCUACUGCUACCAACUAGAAACUUGGGAGGCCGCUUGCCUUUUUCCCUGCCAGGUGUUCUGAAUCGACGUGUGAGAGCCAGGUAGCUGCUGCAGGAUGUCUUCCAUCUUAAAGAUGUUCGGAAGAGAAGACAAGAAGGAUCAGGGAAAAGAGAAGGAGAAAGACAAG